CAAUUUACCUACAAGAAGACCAACAACCAGGUUGUACAAAAAAAAAAACAAGUAACGCCAUACCAAUUGGAAAUAAUCCAUGACAGAAUGAAAUUCAAAUCCUUGUACACCAGGGGAUCCAAGUCAAAACUUGCAAUUAUUUUGUAGCAUGAGUGCCAGAUUGUAUUGUCUUUCUUGAAUCAGUUGAAGCAUACCACCUGCAACAGUUUGAGUAGGGCAUCAAUUACAGGGCUUGCCAAUGUUGUAUCAUACAACAGAACCAUCAUGAACCUGCAUCCACAAGCUCAUGUUAAGUUACCAUCCAAUUCUAGCCUGGCAGGAGGUUUCAACAUAGCUCAUGGCAAGCAUAAUCAAUCUACAGACUAAACUGAUGCGACAAUCAUAAGCCAAAUGCAGGUAUGCCUUUUUUUCAAUAAGUCAGAAACUACACCAAACUGUAAUAGUAGCCAAUUUUGACAUAGUCAUGAGCUGAACCUGCAACAUGUGUAAAAUAGGAGCCAUUGCCAAACAAACUUGCAUCAAGCCACCAAAGCCUGUAAUCAAGCCAUGCCAGCACCAGGUUUUACAAACCAGCACAGUGAACUUGCAAUGCUUGAAACUUACUUGUAUUGCAGCAAUGCACAAUGGUCC
rnacentral:lncRNA from 1 species